rnacentral:rRNA from 1 species
GUGAGGAAUAUUGGUCAAUGGGCGAGAGCCUGAACCAGCCAAGUCGCGUGAAGGAAGAAGGAUCUAUGGUUCGUAAACUUCUUUUGCAGGGGAAUAAAGUGCGGGACGUGUCCUGUGUUGUAUGUACCCUGAGAAUAAGGAUCGGCUAACUCCGUGCCAGCAGCCGCGGUAAUACGGAGGAUCCGAGCGUUAUCCGGCUCUAUUGGGUGUAAAGGGUGCGUAGGUGGGUUGAUAAGUCAGCGGUGAAAGUUUGCAGCUUAACAGUAAAGAUGCCGUUGAAACUGUCGGACUUGAGUGUAAAUGAGGUAGGCGGAAUGCGUGGUGUAGCGGUGAAAUGCAUAGAUAUCACGCAGAACUCCGAUUGCGAAGGCAGCUUACUAAGCUACAACUGACACUGAAGCACGAAAGCGUGGGGAGCAAACAGGAUUAGAUACCCUGGUAGUCC